rnacentral:rRNA from 1 species
CAGGUAGCUGCAUGGCUGUCGUCAGCUCGUGUCGUGAGAUGUUCGGUUUAAGUCCGCUAACGAGCGCAACCCUCGCUGUGUGUUACAAGUGUCACACGGAACUGCCGGUCAUAAACCGGAGGAAGGUGGGGAGUGACGUCAAGUCCCAGCAUGGCCUUUAUAUCCUGGGCUGCACACACGCUACAAUGGGAAGGGACAAUAGGUUGCGAAACCGCGAGGUGGAGCCAAUCCAGCAAAACUUCCCUCAGUUCAGAUUGCAGGCUGCAACUCGCCUGCAUGAAGUUGGAGUUGCUAGUAAACGCAGGUCAGCCAUACUGCGUUGAAUGCGUUCCCGGGGCUU